CCUCCCCCAUAGCAACCAGACACCUUAGCAACCAAUGUGUCUCACGCGCGUACACCAGCCUCUUCCUACUACGCUCUUGCGCGCGGGAGCAAACCAUUCCUUCCGACUGACGGGGGAGCCUGUAGGACCGAACCAUUUCCGCGGCGGGGGUGCAGCUGUGUGUGAGUUGCGUGCAUCAGCUGCUGUGUCCAACGAGGUCGUCGUUUCGGAAACAGAGAGCUGGCGUACGGAUAAAACAGGCCUGCUUUUGAGCAGCCUGUUUUUGCAAAACCUAACUAACAUGGUGUGAGAAAACCAAAAUGCAGCCCUACCCCACCUAUCUCUCCAGCCACCACAUCACUCAACUGGUCCAUCACACCAGGGGCCUAGCAAGUGCUCUCAAGCUGGCUGAGAGUCACAUCUGCCUGUGAAAUUGGGAUGCAGGACCCUCUGGCUUCCCCAGGAGCCCCAUCUGAGCGGACUCACUGUAGGAAGCACAUGGUGUGGAAGCGGAUGUUGAAUGUGCCAAGGUCAGACCCAGGAAGAUUGAAGCUGUAUAAGCUUCUUGCCGUGGAGACAGUAUACUCAGAGAGAGGAGGCAUGUUCCCCCAGAGUCCUGACUGGCUUCGUAUUGAGUAGUUCCUGAUCAUUGCCUCGGUCACUCCGUGACAACAAGGCAUGGAAGCAUUACUCAUUCACAGAGCAAGGUAUCUCUUGGUGUGAAUAUGGGUAUUGAAAUCUGGCCCUUAGUAUCUCCAACCAGUACUCCACAUCCUACUCUCAAUCAUCUGAUGAUACAAAUGAACAAAUUCUCAUGGCUGUCAGUAAGAUGUGAAAGAGCCCAGCUGGUGGGAAAUGGGAAGGUAUCAGGUUUAUAUUACAAAGAGACUGGAGCUGUAAAAUGUAAAAUCCAGAUCCAACUCUUAGCUGUUCCAGAGUUCUUAGGUUUCCCUUCAAACACAUUAUGGAAAUAGCCUGAGUUGCUGCUACACUGUAAUCCAAACCUUCCCAAAAUGUAGGAAUGUCUUGAUUCCAGGUUGCAGUUCAUGUUCUCUCUAAUUUUAGGAGUACUGCAAUACUUCUAGAGUGCACCUAUUUUUUUUAAUUGUCAAAAAUAGGACUGCUGGUACUCUAAUACUGUUACUCAAUGAUUUCAGUCCUCCAUUAAAGAUAAUUCUGCAGGAAUUGAGAUCAGGAGAAGAAAAAAUAAAUGUGACUGUCAUAUUUUUAAAACUAAUGUUUGUCUUAAAGCCAUCUAAACUUCACAAACCACAGUCCAGGGGCUCACAAAGUCAAUAGGACUUUGCAUGGACACUGGGAGCGAUUUGCCUGCAUUGAUAAUCUUGCAGGAUUGGGACCUUAGUUACAUGCAUCAAUUUUACUCAUGUUUCAACAGAGACAAAAAAUUCUACUACUCUUCCCUGAGAUUAAACCAAGCUGUGGUGUGUUUAGGGAACUAUAGUGUAAUAAAAAGUAGGAAGAAACUUACAGAAAAUAAAUUUCACCUCAAUAGCUUAACACACUGAAUCCAAUUCUCUCCUGGUUUACAGCCUGUACAAUCUCAAUUAGGUCAUUGGAGUUGCAUGGCUGUAAACCAGGGCAGAAUUUGAUCAUGUGUGGCUCAUGCCAUAAUAUUUAUCUUUUUCUCUGCAUUUUGUCAUUCUUUCCAUGUCCCUCUCCAUCUGUUCUGUCCUUUUUGGCUAUUUUGUUUCCUUUCCUCUCUUUUGUUUGAUCUCACUUCUUGUGUCUCUUUCUCUCAUUGAACAACUACUAUAAUUUCUCCUUUUACAGACUGAUAAGGUAUCUCCUGUCUGUUUUUUUGGGGCGGGGAGGGGGAUUCUUUGAUUUCUUCCACCCCAUCUUCUCCCUUCUCCUUGAUGUGUUUUCUGCAAAUUCCAAGGCCAAGAAAAGACCCUCUGGUAAUCCAUGCAUUGUCCAUACUAGAAAAAUUAUCUGUUGCUGACAAUAGGUGCCCAUUGCUGAAACCUAUUAUUAGCAAUAGGCAAUUUUUCUUUUUCUAGAAUAGACAAGGCUCUAUUGAGUACACUGUAUUGCAUCUAAGGAUUUUUCAAGGGAGGCCCUAAUCCUGCAAUCAGCUCUGCUUGGGCAGGCCUUUUAGAGCUCAGUGCAGGAUCAGAGUCUUAAUGUAUUACAUCUUUAUGAACAAAAUAAAACUUGUGUCAGACUAGUCAAAUUUUCAAUGGCAAAAUCAUGCUGGCACAUUUUCUUUUUUUAAAUUAAAAAAAUUGCUAGCAAGUUACGUGGCUAAACUAACACAAAAGAGAUGUGGGUAUCAAAUUUCUUGCUGUAAGGUAGAAGGUAAAGCAGUUUUAUAAUGGACAUUUUGAGAAGAACAAUUAAACACAAACUUUAAAGGGACAUUGCCAACUUGAAAUCUAAUCAGUAUUUUAUUUUUAAAAAGAGAUACUCAAAUGUUCAGAUAGUACACCUGUCCCUGUAAUCACAUGCCAAAUGUUGUGGUUUGGAAUCACAUUUUUCUCUAUUUUAAAAUGUCUCUAGAUUCACAGAACGAACUGAAUAAACUCUCUAAAUAAUGGACUAUACAGGGAAACAAUGAAACUUGACUUAUACGAAGUACAGUCAAAUGCACAAAAUAAACAAAGUUCCCAAUCCUGGAAAACACUUUACUUAGGAGGAUUCUGUCCCACCCUCCAUCAACUUUAGUAAUCUCUGUGAUCUCCAAGUGCUAUGUCUGUACAAAGUUCAGUGGAGGAUCAGAUUUUAAGACAGACAACAAUAUUUUUCUCUCUAUUCAUAUUCAGUUAUGGUAAUAUUAGUUAUUUUUACCAAAAUGGGUUAAAAUAGUACAAAAGUAUGAUUUUUAAGUUGACAGUGUCUAAGUUUGGGUCUUGAUCAUGCAAAGAUUUCAUGCUUAAUUUUUAAGAAUAUAAGUAGUCCCAUUGAAUUCAAUGUCUUUGUAAGAUUGGGGCCUAAUUUGCUAUACAUACUGUGACAGGACCCCCGUGUACAUCCUGAAACUAUGGGACCACUGUGCCCCCUUCUCUCUCCAGCCUGGACUGUCUCUCACAAAGCUAUGCCAGUGACAAACAGCAAACCCCUGCAGGAGCUGUGAUCACUCAGCCACCAGCAUGUGGAGACCCACACCCUGCUAAAUAGCUCUCCAAGCCACUCAUGAAUUAUACAGAGAGAGGCACCAGCCAAUCACCCCAGCCCCCAGCUUUGCAUCCCAUUAAUAUACCAUGUUACACUGCUCCAGACUCCCUUGGACAAUACAAGCUCAUUAAUUAGUUCACCACUUCAACAAAGGGUAGUGAGCGUGCAACAGCCCUUGUUAACCUGAACUGAGAUUCACCAAGCACUUCAACAACAAACAACAUAUGUUUUAAUUAAAAUAUAAAACAUAUUUAUUGACUCCAGACAGAUAGAUUUUAAGUGAUUAUAAGUAGUAGGCAUAGAGAUCAAAGUUGGUUACAUAAGAAAAAGAAAUAAAUUUGCAGUCUAAAUUCUACAGACUAAGUAAGGUUUGACUUAAACAGCUUCUCUCACUCCAAUAGAGGUUACAGGCAGCUUACAGUUCUUAAUACACAGGCUGCAUUCCCUCUCACCUUGGACCAGUCCCCCCAGUUCAAAGUUUUUGUCUUCCAGACGGUCUUACAGCUGUUGAGGUGUGGGAGGGGAGAGGCCAAGUGAUGAUGUCACUCUCUCUCUUUUAUACUUUCUUCCAGCUGCUAGAAAAAUCCUUGCUGUGACAUGGGGUUUAAGUACCCCUCAUUGUAUACGUGCCCCCUCUGAGUUGUCUCUGGGAGAGUGGAUUUUUUUUUUAGUGGACCAUCAACACAUGUCUGGCUGGUCCU